rnacentral:lncRNA from 1 species
AUAUCAUUUUAGCACACAAAAGUUGCUACGUUAGUUCAAAAGUAAAGCCCAGAAUUAUUGUGCAUCUGUUAUAUAACAGAAUUACCAGACUAAAAAUAUGUUUACUUUUUAAUACAUGAUUAUAAAACUUUGAUUUUAUAAAUGAAUUAUUGAUUUGCCAGUUGUAUUUUGAACACCUGUUCUGUGCUAGGUAGUAUAUAAAUGUAUAAGGAUUCAAUAUUAAUCUUUUCAUUCAAAUAUCUCUCAAAUAUAAAUCUUGUUAUAUGUGAGUUGCACAUAUACUCUAUGCAAACAUUUAGGUAUACGGUGCUACUUCAUCAAAAGUAAUUAUGAAUAAUAUAUAUGGAAAAAAAGAAAAUAUUGAGAAUUUGGAGUCAUCUAUGCAUUCAAAUGCUCCAAGUCACAGUUUACCUCCAUUGGUACAAAUUAUAGUAAAUGGAUAAUGUUAAUUUGCUAUUAAGUGUUCUACUAAAUCUAGAAACUUUUUAAAGGGAAAAAAGUAAAGAUAUUUCAUUUUAUAUCCUGUUUUGAGAAUAACUGUCUUUGAAAUUUUUUACUUUCCUUUUGAUUCUUGAUAAAGUACUAUCAUUUUGACAUUAAGAGUUGAAUAGUAGCUUCUGGUUUUGACUCAUCUG